AGUCUCAAUUUUUUGGAUCUGCGCUGCCUCUUACGAAACUCAAAUAGAGAGUUCUUCUUCUUCCUUUACCAAAUCCAUAAUCAGUCCAUAACCAGCCUAACGUUUCUUCUCCAUCAUGAAUUCAUCAUCUUCAACUUGCUCUUUCAUUCUCUCAAAUCUCAAUCUUUGUUAGCUCUUCUCUAUUCUCGUUAAUCGUAUCUUCGUCUGAUUCUUUGAUGAUUGCUCGCUAAGCUUUCCUUAUCACCAAAAUCAUGGAUUCAUUGAUUGCAUGUGGUUAUGAUUAUGAUCUCGUUGGUGGUAGUUUUUUUUGAGGUUAGAGAGAUUGGCCGUCGCCGUCCGUCGCUGCCUCACCGUCAACAAAUGUAUCGAAAACCCUAAUUGUUAAUGGGUUUGGGCUUUGUAAACUUUUUAUUGGGUAUGUAAAUGUUAAUGGGUUUGGGCUUUGUAAAUGUUUUGUUGGGUAUGUAAAUGCAGUUUAAUAAUAAUGAGUUUGGGCUUUAUUUAAGCCUAUUAUCC